GACACGCUGUUCUGGCUCGAAAACCCAUUUCCCUGGAGCGUGUUUUGUGUUUGCACUGAGGCAGCCCGGGGUUGUCGGGCGCAUUCAUAUCGUGAAAUCUCCUUAGUAACUCCGAAAGACUGAUGCCUGGUGAAAUGAUGCCUGGAGC